rnacentral:rRNA from 1 species
UCUCUUCGGAGUGAUUUUAAGUGGAUUAGUGGCGGACGGGUGAGUAACGCGUGAGUAACCUGCCUUAGAGAUGGGGAUAGCCUCUGGAAACGGAGAAUAAUACCCAAUGAUACCAAGUUAUCGCAUGGUAGCCUGGUCAAAGAUUUAUCGCUCUAAGAUGGACUUGCGUCUGAUUAGCUAGUUGGUGAGAUAAUGGCUCACCAAGGCAACGAUCAGUAGCCGGCUUGAGAGAGUGUACGGCCACAUUGGGACUGAGACACGGCCCAGACUCCUACGGGAGGCAGCAGUGGGGAAUUUUGCACAAUGGGGGAAACCCUGAUGCAGCGACGCCGCGUGAUUUAGAAGGCCUUCGGGUUGUAAAAAUCUUUUAUAUGGGAAGAUAAUGACGGUACCAUAAGAAAAAGCCCCGGCUAACUACGUGCCAGCAGCCGCGGUAAUACGUAGGGGGCUAGCGUUGUCCGGAAUCACUGGGCGUAAAGGGUUCGCAGGCGGAAAUGCAAGUCAGGUGUAAAAGGCAGUAGCUUAACUACUGUAAGCAUUUGAAACUGCAUAUCUUGAGAAGAGUAGAGGUAAGUGGAAUUUUUAGUGUAGCGGUGAAAUGCGUAGAUAUUAAAAAGAAUACCGGUGGCGAAGGCGACUUACUGGGCUCAUUCUGACGCUGAGGAACGAAAGCGUGGGUAGCAAACAGGAUUAGAUACCCUGGUAGUCCACGCUGUAAACGAUGAGUGCUAGGUAUCGGAAUAAUUCGGUGCCGCAGUUAACACAUUAAGCACUCCGCCUGGGGAGUACGUGCGCAAGCAUG